rnacentral:misc_RNA from 1 species
AAGUCGUAACAAGGUUUCCGUAGGUGAACCUGCGGAAGGACCACUAAAGAGAACCUGCCCUCCGGGGUAGAUCUCCCACCCUUUGCAUACCACACCCCGUUGCUUUGGCGGGCCUGCCCAACGGCUGCCGGCGUAAGCUGGCGCGCGCCCGCCAGAGACCCCAAACUCUGAAUAUUGUCGUCUGAGUAACACAUAAUAAGUUAAAA